GACAGAUACUAAUGUCAGGUUUGUGGCUUC
rnacentral:piRNA from 1 species